rnacentral:tRNA from 1 species
GGGCCCGUGUGGCAACCAGCCUUGAACUUGCCUUUGAUAUGGAAAGCGCUAGGCUUGCAAUGGAUAACCGGCGGGGCUUCGGACCCCGAGAUAAGGGUUCAAAUCCCUUCGGGCCCG